CACAGUAUAUCAUUAAACCUGUCCUGUCUUAUGGCUGUUCAUCCUUCACUGUGUCUAGUCCAUUAAUUAAACUCUACCAUAGGACACUUGGCCUGUCUCCACCCCACUUCAGGCCUCUCGGUACUCCUUUGCAUGCGUGGUUCUUAAACUACUGCAGAGGCAUGAGGCCAGCUUAGGGAAGCAGAGCAGGACCACCCCCUAGAUACUUGGGUCAGGCUGGAGAGGCUGCAUCUCUAAGUGGUCUCUGGCGAAGAAGCAGUUUGAGAACACCGAGUUUUUAAAGCUUUCUAGAAAGGA